AUUGAACGCUGGCGGCAGGCCUAACACAUGCAAGUCGAGCGGGGUUUUCGGACCUAGCGGCGGACGGGUGAGUAAUGCGUAGGAAGCUACCCGAUAGAGGGGGAUACCAGUUGGAAACGACUGUUAAUACCGCAUAAUGUCUACGGACCAAAGUGUGGGACCUUCGGGCCACAUGCUAUCGGAUGCGCCUACGCGGGAUUAGCUAGUUGGUGAGGUAAUGGCUCACCAAGGCGACGAUCCCUAGCUGGUUUGAGAGGAUGAUCAGCCACACUGGAACUGAGACACGGUCCAGACUCCUACGGGAGGCAGCAGUGGGGAAUAUUGGACAAUGGGCGCAAGCCCGAUCCAGCCAUGCCGCGUGUGUGAAGAAGGCCUUCGGGUUGUAAAGCACUUUCAGUAGGGAGGAAGCGUUGUGUGUUAAUAGUACACAGCGUUGACGUUACCUACAGAAGAAGCACCGGCUAACUCUGUGCCAGCCGCCGCCGUAAGAC
rnacentral:rRNA from 1 species